rnacentral:piRNA from 1 species
UUCCGGAGUGGAAAAGGAUCGGG